rnacentral:rRNA from 1 species
GGGUUGUGAGGUUAAGCGACUAAGCGUACACGGUGGAUGCCCUGGCAGUCAGAGGCGAUGAAGGACGUGCUAAUCUGCGAUAAGCGUCGGUAAGGUGAUAUGAACCGUUAUAACCGGCGAUUUCCGAAUGGGGAAACCCAGUGUGAUUUGUCACACUAUCAUUAACUGAAUCCAUAGGUUAAUGAGGCGAACCGGGGGAACUGAAACAUCUAAGUACCCCGAGGAAAAGAAAUCAACCGAGAUUCCCCCAGUAGCGGCGAGCGAACGGGGAGGAGCCCAGAGCCUGAAUCAGUGUGUGUGUUAGUGGAAGCGUCUGGAAAGGCGCGCGAUACAGGGUGACAGCCCCGUACACAAAAAUGCACAUGCUGUGAGCUCGAUGAGUAGGGCGGGACACGUGGUAUCCUGUCUGAAUAUGGGGGGACCAUCCUCCAAGGCUAAAUACUCCUGACUGACCGAUAGUGAACCAGUACCGUGAGGGAAAGGCGAAAAGAACCCCGGCGAGGGGAGUGAAAAAGAACCUGAAACCGUGUACGUACAAGCAGUGGGAGCACGCUUCGGCGUGUGACUGCGUACCUUUUGUAUAAUGGGUCAGCGACUUAUAUUCUGUAGCAAGGUUAACCGAAUAGGGGAGCCGAAGGGAAACCGAGUCUUAACUGGGCGUUAAGUUGCAGGGUAUAGACCCGAAACCCGGU